rnacentral:rRNA from 1 species
UCCAGACUCCUACGGGAGGCAGCAGUGAGGAAUAUUGGUCAAUGGGCGCGAGCCUGAACCAGCCAAGUCGCGUGAGGGAAGACGGUCCUAUGGAUUGUAAACCUCUUUUGUCGGGGAGCAAAAGACGCCACGCGUGGCGUUCCGAGAGUACCCGAAGAAAAAGCAUUGGCUAACUCCGUGCCAGCAGCCGCGGUAAUACGGAGGAUGCGAGCGUUAUCCGGAUUUACUGGGUGUAAAGGGAGCGUAGACGGCAUUGCAAGUCUGAUGUGAAAGAUUGGGGCUCAACCCCAGGCCUGCAUUGGAAACUGUAAAGCUGGAGUACAGGAGAGGUAAGCGGAAUUCCUAGUGUAGCGGUGAAAUGCGUAGAUAUUAGGAGGAACACCAGUGGCGAAGGCGGCUUACUGGACUGUAACUGACGUUGAGGCUCGAAAGCGUGGGGAGCAAACAGGAUUAGAUACCCGCGUACA